UAAGCUCUGCAGCUUUGGUAGGCCAGUUUAUUUUUUCUUUACGAGUUUUUUAACGGGAGUUUAAGAUUGCUCCGGUCCGAGGACCGCGUAGCUGAGGACACCCACCUGCAUACAUCGCGGGAAGAAAACUCUGGCUUACCGGGUAGCGGAGCUUGU
rnacentral:other from 1 species